CUUAAAUGUAUAUCGCCAACACUCUUAAUUCAUGUAAGCAUAGAUUCUAGAGAAUAUAGAUAGGAAAGACGUAUGCAAAAAAUAUUCCAGUUGCUACAUGCUUUACUUUUUGUGGACCUGGAAGGCAUGUCUUUGUAUAAAGUUGAAGUACCUUGAAGUGCUGCUAACUGGAAAGCUUCAGAGACCUUAUUUUCUUCACAGCAUCCAAGACAGGGUCAGUACACUCUUAAGUCUUAGAAUAACUGCAGUUGGUGAAGGAAUCAAACCAAGACCAACAUGGCCAUAGAAAGAGACCUCCCAACCAAAGUGAGGUUUGGUCUUGUACAUUCCAACGCUAAUGACAAGUAUGAAUACGGGAUUUCCAUACUGAGCUAGACAAAAUGGUCACUUGUUCUUUAUUGUGUUCUUGGAGAAUGGCAG
rnacentral:lncRNA from 1 species